AUGAAAAGGACUGCAUAUGAUCUUAGGAUCUGGGCUAGAUCGUUAUUCAAUGACGCCAAGAUUCAGUUCCACCUAGCUGCUGAAAUUGUGCUUCGACUAUACAUUGCUCAGGAGAAGUGGCACCUCACAGCGGCAGAAUUUCACCUUCGGAAGCAGCUCAAACGCAGGUUGAUCGGCCUGGCUGCGAUCGAGUGGGUGCGCAAGUGUCAGGCUUCGCGGCUCACAUGGCUCAAAGCUGGGAAUGCCAAGACUGCCUUUUUUCUGGCCAAGAUCAACUCUCGCAGAAGAAAAAACUUCAUUCACUCUCUGCACUUCGAAUUCGGAACAGCUUCCACUCAUGAUGACAAAGCUGCUGUUGCUCAUGAGUAUUUCGUCAGGUUGCUGGGCACCAAGCAGACCCAUGGCUGCUCCAUCAACUGGGAGGCGCUCGAGCUGCCCUCUGUUCAAAAUGCAGGCCUCGAUAACCCCUACUCCAUGGAUGAGGUCUGGGCUGCUGUAGCUGCCUCGCAGGACGACAAGGCUCCUGGGCCGGACGGCUUCUCUAGCGCCUUCUUUAGAGCCUGCUAG
rnacentral:rRNA from 1 species